rnacentral:lncRNA from 1 species
GCUUUAGUCCGAAUCAUAUUGGCUUGGUCUAUGAGGCCCUUGCGCCAUAAAACCGCAUACCAACCAACCAUAUUGGUAUCGAGACUAAACCUUCUUUUCCCGACAGUCCGAUAUCCACACUGAUAAGGCAUUCUCCAUUUUCACAAUUCGCUUAUUACGAGAAGUCACAACUGGCUUAGUGACCUUGAAGAACGAUAUCGAGGCAGUUUUACGGAUAUUCACUUCACCUUAUUUUAUGUAGCGAACCGUCGAUUCGUUCAAUCCGUAAUGGCAUGUAACAGACGCAUAGCUAUGGCCUGCCUUAAGCAUGUCCAAUAAAUUAACUUUCUCGUUCACUGUCAUCAUUUUUCUCUUCUUCUUGGGUUCACUAGAGGAUUUAGAGGGUGGAGGACGUCUAGGAGCCAUUUUCAAGGGCGUCACAAGCACUAUUUUGCACAAAAAGACACGAGAACAUCAAAAAUUAGCACACCUCGAGACUAAGCAUCACUCAAACAUUGAUUUGAAUGAGCGCGGUCGUCUUCGCUGCGUAUGAGAGCAAAGGUGGGGGAAACGUCUAGGCCGAUCAGCUUGCGAGAUUCCCGAGUCGGGAGGGAUAUCAAAUGGCGGGAUGCUAGCAGCCAAUUAGAGACGUGGAUUUUAAAUUGUGUGGCCACUUCCUGCCUUCUGCUGGCGUGCGAGCAACUUUCGCGCCAUAAUUCCUCAAUUUUGAAUUUUUGAACAAUCCGCGAUGUACUGAGGCCGCGAUAAAUGAACCGCGAAGUAGCGAGGGAUGACUGUAUUAUGAAAACAUUACGUGUGAUUUUACUGGUUGUUAACUUCAUUAACUAAUACUGUUUGAAUCAGCAAACAAAAAUAUUUUUCGACAGUGAUUUGAAAUUCUUCCUUCAGGCGUGUUAUAAUAACUUGAUGUACUUAUUGAAAUGGUAUAAAGUAUAGAAAACUG